UGGGGAAUUUUGGACAAUGGGCGAAAGCCUGAUCCAGCAAUGCCGCGUGUGUGAAGAAGGCCUUCGGGUUGUAAAGCACUUUUGUCCGGAAAGAAAUCCUUGGCUCUAAUACAGUCGGGGGAUGACGGUACCGGAAGAAUAAGCACCGGCUAACUACGUGCCAGCAGCCGCGGUAAUACGUAGGGUGCAAGCGUUAAUCGGAAUUACUGGGCGUAAAGCGUGCGCAGGCGGUUUGCUAAGACCGAUGUGAAAUCCCCGGGCUCAACCUGGGAACUGCAUUGGUGACUGGCAGGCUAGAGUAUGGCAGAGGGGGGUAGAAUUCCACGUGUAGCAGUGAAAUGCGUAGAGAUGUGGAGGAAUACCGAUGGCGAAGGCAGCCCCCUGGGCCAAGUACUGACGCUCAUGCACGAAAGCGUGGGGAGCAAACAGGAUUAGAUACCCCUGGUAGUCCACGCCCUAAAACGAUGUCAACUAGUUGUUGGGGGAUUCAUUUUCCUUAGUAACGUAGCUAACGCGUGAAGUUGACCGCCUGGGGAGUACGGUCGCAAGAUUAAAACUCAAAUGAAUUGACGGGGU
rnacentral:rRNA from 1 species